UACGUAGGUGGCGAGCGUUGUCCGGAUUUACUGGGCGUAAAGAGCGCGCAGGCGGUCGUCCAAGUCGCGUGUGAAAGCCCCCGGCUCAACUGGGGAGGGUCACGCGAUGCUGAUCGACUCGAAGGCAGGAGAGGGUAGUGGAAUUCCUGGUGUAGCGGUGAAAUGCGCAGAUAUCAGGAGGAACACCAAUUGCGAAGGCAGCUCGCUGGGACGUAACUGACGCUGAGACGCGAAAGCGUGGGGAGCAAACAGG
rnacentral:rRNA from 1 species